UCUGGUUGAUCCUGCCAGUAGUUAUAUGCUUGUCUCAAAGAUUAAGCCAUGCAUGUCUAAGUACACACGAAUUAAAAGUGAAACCGCAAAAGGCUCAUUAUAUCAGUUAUGGUUCCUUAGAUCGUUAACAGUUACUUGGAUAACUGUGGUAAUUCUAGAGCUAAUACAUGCAAUUAAAACACGGACCUUAUGGGACGUGUGCUUUUAUUAGGCUAAAACCAAGCGAUCGCAAGAUCGUUACAUUGGUUGAACUCUAGAUAACAUGCAGAUCGUAUGGUCUUGUACCGACGACAGAUCUUUCAAAUGUCUGCCCUAUCAACUUUUGAUGGUAGUAUCUAGGACUACCAUGGUUGCAACGGGUAACGGGGAAUCAGGGUUCGAUUCCGGAGAGGGAGCCUGAGAAACGGCUACCACAACUAAGGAAGGCAGCAGGCGCGUAAAUUACCCACUCCCAGCUCGGGGAGGUAGUGACGAAAAAUAACAAUACAGGACUCAUAUCCGAGGCCCUGUAAUUGGAAUGAGUACACUUUAAAUCCUUUAACAAGGACCAAUUGGAGGGCAAGUCUGGUUGCCAGCAGCCGCGGUAAUUCCAGCUCCAAUAGCGUAUAUUAAAGUUGUUGCGGUUAAAACGUUCGUAGUUGAACUUGUGCUUCAUACGGGUAGUACAACUUACAAUUGUGGUUAGUACUAUACCUUUAUGUAUGUAAGCGUAUUACCGGUGGAGUUCUUAUAUAUAAUUAAGUACUUGUAUUUUUUUAUAUAUUCCUCCUAUUUAAAAACCUGCAUUAGUGCUCUUCAUCGAGUGUUAUUGUGGGCCGGUACAAUUACUUUGAACAAAUUAGAGUGCUUAAAGCAGGCUUCAAUAGGCCUGAAUAUUCUGUGCAUGGGAUAAUGAAAUAAGACCUCUGUUCUGCUUUCAUUGGUUUUCAGAUCAAGAGGUAAUGAUUAAUAGAAGCAGUUUGGGGGCAUUAGCAUUACGACGCGAGAGGUGAAAUUCUUGGACCGUCGUAAGACUAACUUAAGUGAAAGCAUUUGCCAAAAAUGUUUUCAUUAAUCAAGAACGAAAGUUAGAGGUUCGAAGGCGAUCAAAAACCGCCCUAGUUCUAACCAUAAACGAUGCCAGCUAGCAAUUGGGUGUAGCUACUUUUAUGGCUCUCUCAGUCGCUUCCCAGGAAACCAAAGCUUUUGGGCUCCGGGGGAAGUAUGGUUGCAAAGCUGAAACUUAAAGGAAUUGACGGAAGGGCACCACCAGGAGUGGAGCCUGCGGCUUAAUUUGACUCAACACAGGAAAACUUACCAGGUCCGAACCUAAGUGUGUAAGACAGAUUGAUAGCUCUUUCUCGAAUCUAUGGGUGGUGGUGCAUGGCCGUUCUUAGGAAACGCAUUAUCUCUCAUUGUUGUAUAUAUUUGUGUGAGAACAACGAAGAAAAAUAUAUAUUUUUUUGUCCUUUUUGAAUCAAAUAAUACUGAGGAAUGUCUAGCAUAAAAAAAUAAUUAAAGUUUUUUCAUCCAGAAUUGCCUCUUAUUAAUGUUUCGAAAGGAAAUUUUGUUGUAAAUAUAAAUAUUUAAUAUUCUUCUUGAUAUUCGUUAUAAAAUACGAAUAUUAUAAUGAUUUCAUUAUGAGAACGCUCUAUAUAUAAUAAUAUAGUGUAAUUAUCAUUAUAAAUUUUAAUAUACGUAUAUACAACCUCAACUCAUAUGGGACUACCCCCUGAAUUUAAGCAUAUUAAUUAGGGGAGGAAAAGAAACUAACCAGGAUUUUCUUAGUAGCGGCGAGCGAAAAGAAAUCAG
rnacentral:rRNA from 1 species